rnacentral:rRNA from 1 species
UACAGAGGUCUCAAGCGUUGUUCGGAUUCAUUGGGCGUAAAGGGCGCGUAGGCGGCUUGGCAAGUGGAUGGUGAAAUCCCUCGGCUUAACCGAGGAACUGCCGUCCAAACUGCUUAGCUUGAGACCGGGAGAGGUGAGUGGAAUUCCCAGUGUAGCGGUGAAAUGCGUAGAUAUUGGGAGGAACACCAGUGGCGAAGGCGGCUCACUGGACCGGUACUGACGCUGAUGCGCGAAAGCGUGGGGAGCAAACGGG